UACGGAGGGUGCGAGCGUUGUCCGGAAUCACUGGGCGUAAAGGGCGCGUAGGCGGCUUGGGAAGUCCGUGGUGAAAGCUCGUGGCUCAACUACGAGUCGGCCAAGGAUACUCCUGAGCUCGAGUCGACUAGAGGCUAAUGGAAUUCCGGGUGUAGCGGUGGAAUGCGUAGAGAUCCGGAAGAACACCGGUGGCGAAGGCGGUUAGCUGGGGUCGAACUGACGCUGAGGCGCGACAGCGUGGGGAGCAAACAGG
rnacentral:rRNA from 1 species